ensembl:snoRNA
CCUGGGAGACAGACUGAGACUGUAUCUCAGUAAACAAAAACAAAAAACAGCUGGGGUGCUAGAGUCCCCACAGAGAAUCUGCUGGGCUUGAUUCACUGGCAGGGGCAAUCAGUGCCCGUUAGUGCCCAGAUCAAUAACAUUC